rnacentral:rRNA from 1 species
UACGUAGGGGGCAAGCGUUGUCCGGAUUUCUUGGGCGUAAAGAGCGUGUAGGCGGUCAGGUAGGUCUGCUGUGAAAACUCGAGGCUUAACCUCGAGCUGUCGGCGGAAACCAUCUGGCUAGAGUCCGGAAGAGGAGAAUGGAAUUCCCGGUGUAGCGGUGAAAUGCGCAGAUAUCGGGAAGAACACCCGUGGCGAAGGCGGUUCUCUGGGACGGUACUGACGCUGAGACGCGAAAGCGUGGGGAGCGAACAGG